GAUUCAAGCAUUGCGUCUAAAACUGCAACAUCUCUGGCUCCUUCAAUAAAAGAGAGUCGAGGCUCAACUUCGUAGCUACUUCCCUUCUGUGACAGAUAAAAAGGGACUACUAAUGAAUAUGUUUUGGGCCGGAGAUUUCUUUCAACAGUGGAAAAGCUUACUACUGAUAGAUGCAAGCAAUCCUAGUGCGAUGGGUGAAUAUGGGACUUUGUUUGACUGGAGUUAACUUUCUUGCCAACAAAAGUUCUAGCAGUCUUCCUCAUCAAUCUAUGAUGGGCAGAUAAGAUACUAAUUAUGUAUAGUUCAGAAGGAAAAGAGAGUCACAUUAAUAAUAGAAGCAUAUUUUCUUGUCCAAAACAAUGCCACUAUCCCGUUAUGAUCCUGCCAAACUGAAUAUAAUCAAAUAAUGACUCUGUUUGGACAAAUCUAUUUGUGUGAACUUUCAGCUCUCAAGACAUGAUUGGCCUUUGUGGUUUGAAGCAAGGAUGGCCCCUGUAUAUAUUCUUAUAAAAAAAUAACACAAUAAUCUAGAUCGAUUAUUGGUA